AAUAAGUGUUCUACUGCACUUUUUAAAUAAGUACUCACCUUGUGUGCAAUGUUUGCUGUCGCGUCGUUCACGCGUCAUGACAGCAUAAUACCAACCUUUUAUUGAAAAUUUUUUGUCUGAAGAUAUUUUGAAUAAAUAAUUCUAAAUACAACUUUCAACAACGGAUCUCUUGGCUCU
rnacentral:misc_RNA from 1 species